rnacentral:lncRNA from 1 species
GAAACAGCCUCUGUCUCAGGUUGGGAGUUGCUGCCAUGGAGACCACAAGAGUGGAGAUUUUCUGACACACAGAAAGGAAUGGAUUACAGCUCCUUCUUAUGUAAAUUUCCAUGGAGGGGAAAAAAGAUUAAAAGGAAAAUAAUUCUGCUUUAGUCGUUUUCCUUUAAGGUGAUAAGAUCCUUUGAUUCCAUCGUGGAGAAGAAGGCAACAGCUGUUUGUCACAAAUGGUCCAAAAUGGCUGCUAAAAUUCCUGCCACUACAUCUGGAUCCCAGGCAGCAGGAAGGAGAAAUGGAAGAAGACCUGUCCUGUCCCUGAGACAAUGCCAUUCAGCAUGUUCCAUACAAUAUCUCUGCUUAUUGAUCACUGGCCAGAACUUGACAGAGAUGAACAAUGAGGCUUUUUUGUUCUGCUUUUUAUGUUCUGCUACAGACAAAAAGAAAAAAAAGCGUAUGUAUUUAUAGUCUACUUGAUUUUAAUAAAGGAUUGAGUGCAGCCUAAGGCAUGUGCAUGUUAUCCUGUAGGUAACAGGGGCCACAAAUGGGUUGUGGCUAAUGGAACAUGGCUGAAGGGUCUGUGCCAGUUCUGAGCCUCAGGAGGCACUGCUGUUUCUUCUUGCCCUUCUGGGACUUUUGCCAUGGGAAGAACCCACAGUCUUGGGGUCUUUUUCAGCCUGGGUUCCAGAAUGAGAUGCAUUCUGAACAUGAAGGUGGGGCAGAUCUGAACUUGACCCAUCACCUGAAGCCAAACUGUCCAAACCACCUCUCAAAGCUAUGAGCAACAAAUAAAUGCUUAUUUUGUGCGCCU